CCUACGGGAGGCUGCAGUGGGGAAUAUUGGACAAUGGGCGAAAGCCUGAUCCAGCCAUGCCGCGUGUGUGAAGAAGGCCUUCGGGUUGUAAAGCACUUUCAGUGGGGAAGAAAGCCUUGGGGCUAAUACCCUCGAGGAAGGACAUCACCCACAGAAGAAGCACCGGCUAACUCCGUGCCAGCAGCCGCGGUAAUACGGAGGGUGCGAGCGUUAAUCGGAAUUACUGGGCGUAAAGCGCGCGUAGGCGGUCUGAUAAGCCGGUUGUGAAAGCCCCGGGCUCAACCUGGGAACGGCAUCCGGAACUGUCAGGCUAGAGUGCAGGAGAGGAAGGUAGAAUUCCCGGUGUAGCGGUGAAAUGCGUAGAGAUCGGGAGGAAUACCAGUGGCGAAGGCGGCCUUCUGGACUGACACUGACGCUGAGGUGCGAAAGCGUGGGUAGCAAACAGGAUUAGAUCCGGGUAUC
rnacentral:rRNA from 1 species